rnacentral:rRNA from 1 species
UACGUAGGUGGCAAGCGAUACUCGGAAUCACUAGGCGUAAAGCGCAGGUAGGCGGUUGGAUAAGUUUCUUGUGAAAGCUCCCGGCUUAACUGGGAGAGGUCAAGGAAUACUGUCUGACUUGAGUGUGGUAGGGGUAACUGGAAUUCCCGGUGUAGCGGUGAAAUGCGUAGAUAACGGGAGGAAUACCUAUGGCGAAAGCAGGUUACUGGGCCAUCACUGACGCUGAGCUGCGAAAGCUAGGGGAGCAAACAGG